rnacentral:rRNA from 1 species
AGCUCCAAUAGCGUAUAUUAAAGUUGUUGCGGUUAAAAAGCUCGUAGUUGGAUCUCAGUUCACGUCCCGUGGUCCGCUUGCCGGCGGUUACUGCGCGCGACUGAACAGCUUACAGACCCUCUGUCGAUGCUCUUCACCGGGUGUCGGCAGUGGCCUGUACGUUUACUUUGAACAAAUUAGAGUGCUUAAAGCAGUCGUCCCGACCGAAUAAUCUUGCAUGGAAUAAUGGAAUAGGAUCUCGAUUCUAUUCUGUUGGUCUUCGGAAUCUGAGAUAAUGAUUAAGAGGGACAGACGGGGGCAUUCGUAUUGCGGCGCUAGAGGUGAAAUUCUUGGACCGUCGCAAGACGAACUACAGCGAAAGCAUUUGCCAAGAAUGUUUUCA